UUACCAAAAAGUCGAGCGGACAGAUGGGAGCUUGCUCCCUGAUGUUAGCGGCGGACGGGUGAGUAACACGUGGGUAACCUGCCUGUAAGACUGGGAUAACUCCGGGAAACCGGGGCUAAUACCGGAUGGUUGUUUGAACCGCAUGGUUCAGACAUAAAAGGUGGCUUCGGCUACCACUUACAGAUGGACCCGCGGCGCAUUAGCUAGUUGGUGAGGUAACGGCUCACCAAGGCAACGAUGCGUAGCCGACCUGAGAGGGUGAUCGGCCACACUGGGACUGAGACACGGCCCAGACUCCUACGGGAGGCAGCAGUAGGGAAUCUUCCGCAAUGGACGAAAGUCUGACGGAGCAACGCCGCGUGAGUGAUGAAGGUUUUCGGAUCGUAAAGCUCUGUUGUUAGGGAAGAACAAGUGCCGUUCAAAUAGGGCGGCACCUUGACGGUACCUAACCAGAAAGCCACGGCUAACUACGUGCCAGCAGCCGCGGUAAUACGUAGGUGGCAAGCGUUGUCCGGAAUUAUUGGGCGUAAAGGGCUCGCAGGCGGUUUCUUAAGUCUGAUGUGAAAGCCCCCGGCUCAACCGGGGAGGGUCAUUGGAAACUGGGGAACUUGAGUGCAGAAGAGGAGAGUGGAAUUCCCCGUGUAUCGGUGAAAUGCGUACAGGUGUGGAGAAACACGGGUGUCUAAUGCG
rnacentral:rRNA from 1 species